rnacentral:lncRNA from 1 species
CGAUAAUGGAAAAGCAAAGCAAGGCCUAUGGGGUUCAUGUUUUGGCACUUCCUUACCCAAGCCAAGGCCAUGUAAAUCCCAUGUGCCAAUUCUGCAAGAAGUUAGUCUCCAAAGGAACAAAAGCCACUUUAGCAGUCACCAACUAUAUUUCCAAAUCUACAAGCCCGAAAUCCGACACCGUGGCUAUCGACACAUUUUCUGACGGUUACGAUGAAGGUGGUUUCACGCAAGCUGGUGAUGUCGACAAAUAUCUAGUGCGUUUGGAAAAAAGAGGCUCCAAAACAGUGGCAGAACUCAUUCAGAAGUACCAAAAAUCUAACCAUCCUAUUGAUUGUAUUGUUUAUGAUUCAAUGUUGCCUUGGGCUUUGGAUGUGGCCAAAGAGUUUGGAAUUCUUGGAGCCUGUUUCUUCACACAGGCUUGUGCUGUUAAUUAUGUGUACUAUUAUGUGCAUCAUGGGUUGUUGACACUGCCUGUUUCGUCGCUGCCAGUCGAGAUUCCUGGAUUUCCACCCCUUCAUCUGCCUGAUAUGCCAUCAUUCAUUUAUGUAUAUGGAUCUUAUCCAGGUUACUUCCACUUGGUGUUAAACCAAUUUUCAAAUGUUGACAAG